CCGAAUGAUGAUCAAAACGACACCUCAGGGAUUCCUCAUGCUUAAUACAUAAUGUGGAUAACGUUGCUUUAAGUUUCAGCCUUGUCUGACU
rfam:Cordyceps militaris CM01 unplaced genomic scaffold CCM_S00002, whole genome shotgun sequence.